rnacentral:rRNA from 1 species
AAAGGUUGACCUCGGAUCAGGUAGGAAUACCCGCUGAACUUAAGCAUAUCAAUAAGCGGAGGAAUCGUCGAC